CCUACGGGAGGCAGCAGUGGGGAAUAUUGCGCAAUGGGGGCAACCCUGACGCAGCCAUGCCGCGUGAAUGAAGAAGGCCUUCGGGUUGUAAAGUUCUUUCGGUAGCGAGGAAGGCAUUUAGUUUAAUAGACUAGGUGAUUGACGUUAACUACAGAAGAAGCACCGGCUAACUCCGUGCCAGCAGCCGCGGUAAUACGGAGGGUGCGAGCGUUAAUCGGAAUAACUGGGCGUAAAGGGCACGCAGGCGGUGACUUAAGUGAGGUGUGAAAGCCCCGGGCUUAACCUGGGAAUUGCAUUUCAUACUGGGUCGCUAGAGUACUUUAGGGAGGGGUAGAAUUCCACGUGUAGCGGUGAAAUGCGUAGAGAUGUGGAGGAAUACCGAAGGCGAAGGCAGCCCCUUGGGAAUGUACUGACGCUCAUGUGCGAAAGCGUGGGGAGC
rnacentral:rRNA from 1 species